rfam:Guillardia theta CCMP2712 unplaced genomic scaffold GTITHscaffold_72, whole genome shotgun sequence.
GCCUCUAUAGCUCAGUUGGUCAGAGCGCACGCUUAGUAAGCGUGAGGUCGCGUGUUCGAGCCCCGCUAGAGGCA